GGGCCUGUAGCGCAGUGGUUGUCGCGCCCUCCCAGAUGAGAGGGAACACGCCGGUUCGAAUCCGGCCGGUCCCGCGA
rnacentral:tRNA from 1 species